rnacentral:rRNA from 1 species
GACGAACGCUGGCGGCGUGCUUAACACAUGCAAGUCGAACGGAAAGGCCCUGCUUUUGUGGGGUGCUCGAGUGGCGAACGGGUGAGUAACACGUGAGUAACCUGCCCUUGACUUUGGGAUAACUUCAGGAAACUGGGGCUAAUACCGGAUAGGAGCUCCUGCUGCAUGGUGGGGGUUGGAAAGUUUCGGCGGUUGGGGAUGGACUCGCGGCUUAUCAGCUUGUUGGUGGGGUAGUGGCUUACCAAGGCUUUGACGGGUAGCCGGCCUGAGAGGGUGACCGGCCACAUUGGGACUGAGAUACGGCCCAGACUCCUACGGGAGGCAGCAGUGGGGAAUAUUGCACAAUGGGCGGAAGCCUGAUGCAGCAACGCCGCGUGCGGGAUGACGGCCUUCGGGUUGUAAACCGCUUUCGCCUGUGACGAAGCGUGAGUGACGGUAAUGGGUAAAGAAGCACCGGCUAACUACGUGCCAGCAGCCGCGGUGAUACGUAGGGUGCGAGCGUUGUCCGGACUUAUUGGGCGUAAAGGGCUCGUAGGUGGUUGAUCGCGUCGGAAGUGUAAUCUUGGGGCUUAACCCUGAGCGUGCUUUCGAUACGGGUUGACUUGAGGAAGGUAGGGGAGAAUGGAAUUCCUGGUGGAGCGGUGGAAUGCGCAGAUAUCAGGAGGAACACCAGUGGCGAAGGCGGUUCUCUGGGCCUUUCCUGACGCUGAGGAGCGAAAGCGUGGGGAGCGAACAGGCUUAGAUACCCUGGUAGUCCACGCUGUAAACGGUGGGUACUAGGUGUGGGGUCCAUUCCACGGGUUCCGUGCCGUAGCUAGCGCUUUAAGUACCCCGCCUGGGGAGUACGGCCGCAAGGCUAAAACUCAAAGGAAUUGACGGGGCCCCGCACAAGCGGCGGAGCAUGCGGAUUAAUUCGAUGCAACGCGUAGAACCUUACCUGGGUUUGACAUGGAUCGGGAGUGCUCAGAGAUGGGUGUGCCUCUUUUGGGGUCGGUUCACAGGUGGUGCAUGCCUGUCGUCAGCUCGUGUCGUGAGAUGUUGGGUUAAGUCCCGCAACGAGCGCAACCCUUGUUCACUGUUGCCAGCACGUUAUGGUGGGGACUCAGUGGAGACCGCCGGGGUCAACUCGGAGGAAGGUGGGGAUGACGUCAAGUCAUCAUGCCCCUUAUGUCCAGGGCUUCACGCAUGCUACAAUGGCUGGUACAGAGAGUGGCGAGCCUGUGAGGGUGAGCGAAUCUCGGAAAGCCGGUCUCAGUUCGGAUUGGGGUCUGCAACUCGACCUCAUGAAGUCGGAGUCGCUAGUAAUCGCAGAUCAGCAACGCUGCGGUGAAUACGUUCCCGGGGCU